UACGUAGGGUGCGAGCGUGUCCGGAUUUAUUGGGCGUAAAGAGCUCGUAGGCGGUUUGUCGCGUCGGCCGUGAAAUCUCCACGCUUAACGUGGAGCGUGCGGUCGAUACGGGCAGACUUGAGUUCGGUAGGGGAGACUGGAAUUCCUGGUGUAGAGGUGAAAUUCGUAGAUAUCGGGAGGAACACCGGUGGCGAAGGCGGCGACCUGGGUAGAUACUGACGCUGAGGCGCGAAAGCGUGGGGAGCAAACAGG
rnacentral:rRNA from 1 species